GCCAACCUAAAGGGCAUACCGACAUUCAAAUGAAAAUGAGAAAACCCAAAAUUACAAGAAAAAUGAGUAGAACAUGAUGGUAGAUCACCCUAAACCUCUAAUACAACUGUAAACCCCUGAAUGCAAUCAUCAACAAGGCACCAAAAGAAUAAUGGCAGGGAACAAUGACUUGUGCAGCAAAGCAAAAGAAUCACAUCCCCAUUCAC
rnacentral:lncRNA from 1 species